rnacentral:rRNA from 1 species
GAUGAACGCUGGCGGCGUGCCUAAUACAUGCAAGUCGAGCGAACGGACGAUAGGCUUGCCUCUCGGAUGAUAGCGGGGGGCGGGUGAGUAACACAUGUAUAACCCCCCUAUAAGACAGGGGUAACACCGGGGAAAAGGAGAUCAUACCGCGGAAAAUAUUGAAACGCACAGGUCAGAAGUGUAAAAGGGUCUUGCGGUCACACUAUGAGGUAGCCUCGCGGUGCAUUAGCUAGUUGGUGGGGUAAAGGCCCACCAAGGCCACGAUGCAUAGCCGACCUGAGAGGGUGAUCGGCCACACUGGAACUGAGACACGGCCCAGACUCCUACGGGAGGCAGCAGUAGGGAAUCUUCCGCAAUGGGCGAAAGCCUGACGGAGCAACGCCGCGUGAGUGAAGAAGGUCUUCGGUUCGUAAAGCUCUGUUGUUAGGGAAGAACGAUUGUGUAGUAAACUGAGACCGUAGUGACGGUACCUAAUCAGAAAGCCACGGCUAACUACGUG